rnacentral:lncRNA from 1 species
AUUUAGCAGUAGACCACCUCAACCAGUUACCAUUUAAUGGGGAAUCUUCACUGUUGGACGAUGAGUUCCUAGAUGAACAUUUGUUUUCAAUGCAACAAGCAGCACCAUGGUAUGCAGACAUCGUUAAUUUACUUAUUACCUAGGAGCUACCAACUGAUCUCCCAAACACCAGGAAGGAAAAGAUAAAAAAAGAAGCAAGGCAGCACGGAUAACCCAUACUUGUGGAAAUAUUGUGCUGAC